rnacentral:tRNA from 1 species
GGCCGACUAGCUCAGUUGGUUAGAGCGUCGUGCCAAUAACGCGAAGGUCUUGGGUUCGAUCCCCACGUUGGCCA